rnacentral:rRNA from 1 species
UACGUAGGUGGCGAGCGUUGUCCGGAUUUACUGGGCGUAAAGGGAGCGUAGGCGGUCUGUCGCGUCUGCUGUGAAAACUCGGGGCUUAACCCCGGGCCUGCAGUGGGUACGGGCAGACUAGAGUGCGGUAGGGGAGACUGGAAUUCCUGGUGUAGCGGUGAAAUGCGCAGAUAUCAGGAGGAACACCGGUGGCGAAGGCGGGUCUCUGGGCCGUAACUGACGCUGAGGAGCGAAAGCGUGGGGAGCGAACAGG